UGUCGCUGUAGAUUUAGCAGCACUGUACUGUAAAAAUCCACAGUACUAUACUGUAUGUGUACAUUACAGUACAGUACUGCAGUUCAUAAUGCAUUCUGGGUAAAUUUGUUUGAGCGGGAAAAUUUUACAGUAUAUUUUGGUCUUGAUGUAACCUUGCUGUAGCCAUUGCUGUAAUGUGCCAGGUGUACUUGCAAUAAUCAGUGAAAGUGCGCCAACGUCAAAUCACACAGACAGAGGGAGAGCACAACUCUUGGCUGCAGCUGAAGGAGGACGAUUGAUUUCUGUCAGUUCGUCUUACCAUUGCUUGUAAGCUGGAUUGGGUAAGAUGGAUCAUCUUUAAAGGCACCAGGAGUUAAGGCAGAUGUGGAGGCACAAUGGGUGACACCAGACACACACCAAGCACAUUAUGUUCGGACAUUCAAUCAUGACAUGAUCCAUGUGGAUGCUGUCCAUUGAGGAAAGAGUUUGUUCCGAGGUUUCUGGAUAGAAUUAAUUCCAAAGAUGGGAAAAAAUGCACAUCCAGACAAGGAGCAAGCAAAAAGACAAGGAACUUGGUGCAGAGAAAAGCUGUGGCCAUUAACCCCCAUGUGAACAGCUUCAUGCAGUCCCUGAUUGAGUUCGAAUGGACGACUUCAAAGUAAAGGCCACUGUGGUCUGUCUGCCAGUUUAAUGCAUUUAUUUUUAGUGUUAAAUGAAAUUCAAGUAGAAUAUUUAAAACUAUGGGCCAGUGUUCUUUUUACCACAGUGAAAUGUUACCUUUUAGUCGAUGAUGGACUUUAAACUGAAAACUUCAAACUAUGGAACAGUGUUCUAUUUGCCAGAGUUAAAUAUGUUACAGCAGGGGUCUCCAAACUUGUUUAUACUUGUUGAUUUUAUUUUAUGUUACUUGAUUAUAUGUUUAUUAUUGUUUAAAAUCUUGUUUUAAAUGUUUUGUUUCAAUUAAAUGUUUUUUUAAAUAAAAUUUUGAUACAAACAUUGCUUGGAUUGCCUUUUAAUUCAUUAUGUCAUGUCAAGGAUAGCAUUUUUACCAUAUUAAUAACUAUAGAUUUAAACCUAAAUAUCUAGCUAUUUUAUAUAAUAUUAUUGUAUUAACUGUAAUAAGUAAUAAAUAGUAUUUAUGGGUCAAUAUAGACAUUACAGUAAAUUACUGUAAAAAUAGACUACUGUAAUAAAAUAUUGUAAAAUUACAGUACAGUACUGCUUUGUAACUAUACAGUACUAGUUUGUGUACUGUAAAAUGGUAUUACAGUACAGUACUGUAAACCCAAAAUACAGUAACUUACUGGCAACCGUGCUGCCAG